UAGUUUAGGAUGGCCUCGGAUUAUA
rnacentral:piRNA from 1 species